UACGUAGGGUGCGAGCGUUAAUCGGAAUUACUGGGCGUAAAGCGUGCGCAGGCGGUUUUGUAAGCCAGAUGUGAAAUCCCCGGGCUCAACCUGGGAAUGGCAUUUGGGACUGCGAGGCUUGAGUGCGGCAGAGGAGACUGGAAUUCCUGGUGUAGCAGUGAAAUGCGUAGAUAUCAGGAGGAAUACCGAUGGCGAAGGCGGCGCUCUGGGCUGGAACUGACGCUGAGGAGCGAAAGCGUGGGUAGCAAACAGG
rnacentral:rRNA from 1 species